AGAGUUUGAUCCUGCCUCAGGAUGAACGCUGGCGGCGUGCUUAACACAUGCAAGUCGAGCGGAAAUAUUUUAAAUGAAGGCUUCGGUUGGAAUUUAUAAUAUUUUAGCGGCGGACGGGUGAGUAACGUGUGGGUAACCUGCCAUAUACUGGGGAAUAAUCAUUUGAAAAGAUGACUAAUACCGCAUGUCGUCACCGAGGGGCAUCCCUUGGUGAAAAAAGGAGUAAUCCGGUAUAUGAUGGACCCGCAUCUGAUUAGCUAGUUGGUGAGAUAAUAGCUCACCAAGGCGACGAUCAGUAGCCGACCUGAGAGGGUGAUCGGCCACAUUGGGACUGAGACACGGCCCAAACUCCUACGGGAGGCAGCAGUGGGGAAUAUUGCACAAUGGGCGAAAGCCUGAUGCAGCAACGCCGCGUGAAGGAAGAAGGGUUUCGGCUCGUAAACUUCUAUCAAUGGGGAAGAAACAAAUGACGGUACCCAAAUAAGAAGCCCCGGCUAACUACGUGCCAGCAGCCGCGGUAAUACGUAGGGGGCAAGCGUUAUCCGGAAUUACUGGGUGUAAAGGGAGCGUAGGCGGCAUGGUAAGCCAGAUGUGAAAGCCCGAAGCUUAACUUCGAGGAUUGCAUUUGGAACUAUCAAGCUAGAGUACAGGAGAGGUAAGUGGAAUUCCUAGUGUAGCGGUGAAAUGCGUAGAUAUUAGGAAGAACACCAGUGGCGAAGGCGACUUACUGGACUGAAACUGACGCUGGGCUCGAAAGCGUGGGGAGCGAACAGGAUUAGAUACCCUGGUAGUCCACGCCGUAAACGAUGAGUGCU
rnacentral:rRNA from 1 species